GAUGAACGCUGGCGGCGUGCCUAAUACAUGCAAGUCGAGCGAACCACUUCGGUGGUGAGCGGCGAACGGGUGAGUAACACGUAGGUGAUCUGCCCAUCAGACGGGGACAACGAUUGGAAACGAUCGCUAAUACCGGAUAGGACGAAAGUUUAAAGGUGCUUCUGGCACCGCUGAUGGAUGAGCCUGCGGCGCAUUAGCUAGUUGGUAGGGUAAAGGCCUACCAAGGCGACGAUGCGUAGCCGAGCGGAGAGGGUGAACGGCCACACUGGGACUGAGACACGGCCAAGACUCCUACGGGAGGCAGCAGUAGGGAAACGUGGGCAAUGGGCGGAAGCCUGAGCGAGAAACGCCGCGUGAAUGAUGAAGGCCUUCGGGUUGUAAAAUUGUGUUAUGAGGGAAGAACGACUUUAGUAGGAAAUGGCUAGAGUGUGACGGUACCUUAUGAGAAAGCCACGGCUAACUACGUGCCAGCCGCCGCGGUAA
rnacentral:rRNA from 1 species